rnacentral:rRNA from 1 species
UAAUACGGGGGGGGCAAGCGUUGUUCGGAAUUACUGGGCGUAAAGGGCUCGUAGGCGGCCAACUAAGUCGGAUGUGAAAUCCCCAGGCUCAACCUGGGAACUGCGUCUGAUACUGGAUGGCUUGAAUUCGGGAGAGGGAUGCAGAAUUCCAGGUGUAGCGGUGAAAUGCGUAGAUAUCUGGAGGAAUACCGGUGGCGAAGGCGUCAUCCUGGACCGACAUUGACGCUGAGGAGCGAAAGCUAGGGGAGCAAACGG